GGGCCCGCACAAGCGGUGGAGCAUGUGGUUUAAUUCGAUGAUACGCGAGGAACCUUACCAGGGCUUAAAUGUAAGUUGCAUUAGUUAGAGAUAGCUUUUCUUCGGACUACUUACAAGGUGCUGCAUGGUUGUCGUCAGCUCGUGCCGUGAGGUGUCAGGUUAAGUCCUAUAACGAGCGCAACCCCUGUUGUUAGUUGCCAGCGAGUCAUGUCGGGAACUCUAACAAGACUGCCGGUGCAAACCGUGAGGAAGGUGGGGAUGACGUCAAAUCAUCACGGCCCUUACGUCCUGGCUACACACGUGCUACAAUGGUCGGUACAGAGAGCAGCUACCGGGUGACCGGAUGCG
rnacentral:rRNA from 1 species